AAGAUUCUGCCAAGCUAGCAAUAAAUAUUGAUUGAGUCCUUUAAAAUGUAUCCACAUAAGUUGUUCUUUCAAUUUGAAAUAUCCUUUCCCUUUCUCAAUCAAUUAUCAUAAAAUUCAUUUUUCAAGGUUUUGUUGCAUAAGGACUUACUUCCCUGAUUGUCAUAAUAUGUAUUCAGCAAGUUUAGUGUUUAACAGAUAUUUAUUGCACAUCUACUAGUUUCCUGGUAUUUUAUCGUUUUUUGAGGCUACAGAGGUGGAAAUCAAUCCUUGCCUUCAGGAAGCUUGCAGUCUAGUGGAGAAGCCCGAUAGACAGCUGUGAUGGGGGAUAGUGAGGCGUGCACAGGGUGCUAAAGGGGCUGCAAAGAGGAAACACAUAACUCGGUCUGAGAGGUCGUUCUAGAACUGGAAGCCUCAACUGAAUGUAAUAGUUUGUGGAAAAAGAAGAAGACAUUCUAGGCAAAGAAAACUGCAGGUAUGAAGAGAGAUGAAGGAGAGCAUGCUUCAUUUGGGAACAAGUGGAUCCCGCUGGCUGGAGCACUGGGCAUGAGUGUGGGUCAGGGGAGGCACCAAGGAGACAAAGGGGGCUGGGGAACAGCCAAGACCUGGAUCACAGAAGGCCUUGAAUGUCAUAUUAAGGCAUCUGGACUUUACCUGCAAAUCAAUGGGGAACCGCUGAAUGGUCUGAAGCAGGGGUGACGUAGGAUUAACUGCCUCUCCUACUUUUCCACAGCAACUGACUUGACUUUUUUUUUUUUUUUUUUUUUCGGUACGCGGGCCUCUCACUGUCACGACCUCUCCCGCCGCGGAGCACAGGCUCCGGACGCGCAGGCUCAGCGGCCAUGGCUCACGGGCCCAGCCGCUCCGCGGCACAUGGGAUCUUCCCGGACCGGGGCACGAACCCGUGUCCCCUGCAUCGGCAGGCGGACCCUCAACCACUGCGCCACCAGGGAAGCCCUGACUUGACUUUUAUUACACCACUUGUUCCAAUUUGCCUCUUGCUGCUGUGGUUUGUACGUGUGUCUCCUCUCCAUCUGGCCCUCAAGGAGCGAAGACUGUCACCAUGUCCUGCCCAUCGUUGCUCCAGGACCUUGCUUCAGACAUAGUAAUCGUCUUCACUGACAACAUUCUUUCCCUGCAAAGUGAGCUGGAACAGAGGUAAAAUAGUUUUGAAAAGAAUCUUGCUCCAGAAGAAUGUUUUUCCCCCUUGGAUCUUUUUUAACAAACUCCAAGAACAGAAUGAAGAACUUGGGCUGAUUAUUGACUUAACAUAUACUCGCCGCUAUUAUAAGCCAGAGGUAAAUGGAACCCGUAAUUGAAAAUGACCUUCUUUCUGAUACUGUAAUGCUUCAUAGUAAUUCAGUACUUAUCAUCUUAUGGUAUGGUGAAUCCUGGCCUUCUUUCAUGGGUUCAAAAAGGGAAGCUAGUGGUUUCCUUAAAUACACAUUUCUAAUUGCUGUUUCCAAAUGAGAUUAAAGAUACGAAUUGAACUAUAGUAUUUGGCAGUAGGCUCUAGAUAUGCUUAAGAAAUUCUAUAAGCUUCCAUGUUCUAUAUUUUGAAAAUGAAGUAAACUUUUAGUAAGAAUAGGAGUAGCCUAAAAGGAAAGAAAGGUAUGUCCAUUAUGUCUUUUUUUGUUUUUUUUUAACAUCUUUAUUGGAGUAUACUUGCUUCACAAUGGUGUGUUAGUUUCUGCUUUACAACAAAGUGAAUCAGUUAUACGUAUACAUAUGUUCCCAUAUCUCUUCCCUCUUGUGAUGUGGCCCUUUUAGAUCCCUCCCUCUCUCCUUCCAUCUCAGGAGUACCUGAGAUCUCAAUGGUAGACUCUCAUUCUAGAAUUCCCAUUCUGAUUCCACCAGUCAUGUUCUCUGUCCACAGUGUGGAGUUGGUGCUGGGAGGGGCUCUCCAGCAUGAACUACAUUUCUCAGCCCCGCUUCAUACAGGGAAGCCAGUGGUUGAGUUCUGGCCAAUGUCAUAAAGGCAGACAUGAUAAAUAUCGCUUGCAGGGCUGAUCCAAAAAGGCCUCCUCCCUGGCUCUCCACGGCCCUCUUCCCCAUCUGCAGCUGGAUGUCUCCAACCCAGCUCACUUCAGAAGCCACAUGUUAAAUGGGCAGUGUCUCUGUCAGCCUGGGUGCCUGAGUGAGCCCUUUCCCCAUCAGAUUUUGUGGGAGUACAAAAUAAACUUGUAUCAUGUUAAGCCACUGAGAUUUGAGAAUUUGUAUAUUACAAUAGCUAGGAUCAUCUUAACUAAAACAAAUCAUAUCUGUGAUUCUCCAUGAGUCUAUUGAAAUCUUCUCCCUACACGCUGGAAAAGUGCAUUGAGCCUGAGGCAUGGGUUUCUCUCCUCAGCCACCACAAGCUUCACAGGGACAUGGGUACAUUCCCCCCAUAACCUCAUUGCUGCCUGUUUCACAAGCAAUUCUCCUCCAUCUCAGUGAGGUCCACACCACAGUUUCCCUCGUCAUGUUCCCCAUCCUACCUUCUGGGAAAGAAAACUGUCCAAAGAAAUGAAAGGUGGAGGCAGCUCUCUAAGCAGUUGGUUUGGGUAAGGGGCCACCUGGAUCCUAUUAAAAGAAAGAGGAGAAUAAGAAGAACGUGAGGAUUCAGAGAGGAGCCAGCGUUUGGUUCUUCCUGUUAGGAAGCCUGGAAUAAGCUCCAGGCCGUGUAAGGAACUUCGCGCUGGGCCCUCAGGGCCAGGCCAAGGCCAAGAAGCAGGCAUUUGUCCGUCCUACGUGCAAGGCUGCAAGAAGCUGCUGGCAACCCCGACCCCCAAGGGGCUUAAUGUGCUCUUCGUGCAGGCUUUAUGCUGCAGCAACAGCCGGAGCAUCCCCAGGACAGGUGAGUGAGUGAGCGCAGAGCUGGCGGUAGUGAGAACGUGAAACCAGGCUUCACUCCUUAGCCAGAGAAACACAUGAAUUCCUAGAAGGCCCAGUCCAGGUGCUCUGGUACCUCUUGGGCAUAAGAAGGCUCCCAGGGGGAGCUUCAGAGAGCUCAGCUCAGCAAGAGGUGCAGCCUGGGACCCUGAGUUUAGAGCACCUAUUGGCUGUUUAGCUUCAGUUGUUUGUAUUUUGUUUUCUACAUAAAAGGGGAGUAAGGCAACCAAUUUGCCCUGUUUGGAAGUAAUAUGAAGUAUCGAAAGUAACUGUUAUUAACAACAAUAAUAGACACGGAACAUUUACUAAGUGCUAACCACUGUUCUACAUACUUUACACAAAUCAACUCAGUUCAUCUUAAAACAAACGCUAUGAGGUGGUGCUACUAUAAUCCCACUUUGUAGAUGAGGGAACUGAGGUCCAGAGAGGGGACAUAUCUUUUCUGAUGUCACAUGGGUAGUCAUGACAGUGCAUGGGAUUUAAACCCAGGCAAUCUGGCUCCUGAGUUCAUGUUCUUGACCACCAUGGGAGACCUCCAGGGAACACUGCAGUCAGUUUCCACGGGAGGAGGAGGAGGGCACGUGGAGGAAAGGGUCCAUGCCAAGGCUCCGACUGUACCUUGCCCCGCCUCUUCCUGUCUUGUCUCCCUGCUGAGGGACUUAGAGAGGGCAAAUGGCACCAUUCCAGGUUCAAACAAGAAGGAGGCAGCUUUUGUGUGGUAGCAAAACACUGAGUUAGGAAUCGGAAGACCUCUUAGCUCUGUGAUCUUAGGCAAGUGGCAGAAGCAAUCAGUUUCAAUUUCUGGAUUCAUAAAAAGAAAAUAUGCCCCGUGUAGGGUUGUUAUGAGGCCUAACGUGAAGAGGCCUAUUACCAUUCCCAGCAUUUAGUGGCACUUAAAUGAGUUAGCUGAGUGCAAAUCCAGGAUUGAAUUCCAGGGAGAUGAGAUACUGUGGGACAGGCAGGGGGCUUUGAGCAGGAAACGCUCUACUGCACUAAUGUCACUUGGAGGGCUGAUGUCCACAGAAGUCAUUGCAUUUGGGCUACUACAUGUUCCAGUCUUCGAGAACAAAAAUCUUAUUAUCCCUAAGCAGACUGGAGCACAGGGGCAUAGCAGAUGGCCAGGGGGAUACAUCGCCCCAGGCAGAGCAGACUCUUGCCUACUCGACUGCCCGGAAAGCUGCUCUUCCCCCCACUAACUCUGAGCACUCCCCCGUCAAACCAACAUGGAAACUGACAAGGUUUGGUUUGGUUUUGCUUAUGUUCAAAUGAUAGAAAGUCUUUUUUAGCAUUCAACAUGCCUUCUGAUGCUUCCUUUCCUUUCUCUCUUGGACCGUCUAUCAGGAAUGAAGCUUGUUUUUUUAAAUAAAUAAAUAAAUAAUUUAUUUAUUUAUGGCUGCGUUGGGUCUUCGUUGCUGGGCGCAGGCUUUCUCUAGUUGCUGCGAGCGGGGCUACUCUUCGUUGCGGUGCAAGGACUUCUCAUUGUGAUGGCUUCUCUUGUUGUGGAGCAUGGGCUCUAGGCGCGCAGGCUUCAGUAGCUGUGGCUUGCAGGCUCUAGAAUACAGGCUCAGUAGUUGUGGCGCAUGGGCUUAGUUGCUCCACGGCAUGUGGGACCUUCCCGGACCAGGGCUCGAACCCAUGUCCCCUGCAUUGGCAGGCAGAUUCUUAACCACUGCGCCACCAGGGAAGCCCCAAGCUUUUUUUUUUUUUUUCUGGUUGCACCGCGCCGCAUGCAGGAUCUUAGUUCCCCAACCAGGGAUCGAACCCGUGCCCCCUGCAAUGGUAGCACAAAGUCUUAACCACUGGACCACCAGGGAAGUCCCUGGUUUGGUUUGGUUUUGGUCUUGGUAAUUAUUGUUACUUCUGCUGCUUGCUACUGGGAUAAUGGACUGGACAAUGGGCUUCUUGCCUAGACAGACAAGAUGGGGAUCCAGCUGGGCUUUUGGCCUCCACCUGGGGUGUUCAUGCAUUCCAUGUUCCCACAUCAUUUGGGAUCUGACCCUAUGGGUGAUUUUGUCCCUACUCAGGCCACCAUCUUUCUCGUGGGCUAUUACAGUUCUCAGGGUCCCCACUCUCUUGAUACGAUUCAUGCUCAGCAGGCCCAUGUUCUACUCCCCGAGCCUAGA